CAUUGGGUUGCAAAAAGUUGGACACGACUGAGCUACUGAACUGAACUGAGAGUCAUUAGAAACCUUAUGGCCUACAAAACCUUUAUAAAAAGUCGGUCCCUGAGGUCAACCACAAAAACUUGAUGAAAGUGGGAUUUUAAGGAAAGACUGUACCAGUUUAAGACUGUAUGCCAAGACUGAUCCAAGACUUAAGGCAUUUUCAAAAGAUUUCAUACCUAGAUGAUGAGAAUCUUAGGUUGAAGAACAGAGAAAUACAAAAUCCUCUGAAAAAGAAGAGGGUUUAGAUUGUAUUGAAGACCAUUUUUUAAAAGUCUAAUAUAUUUACAGCUUCUUAACUAAAGCUCCAAGGCAGGUUCAGAAAACUUUAACUGAAAUAUUUUCCCACUUUGCGGAAAAUGUGCCUUAAGGAAUAAUUUAGGUUGAAAUGAACCUCAUUGUCUUGCCUUAAAACAGUUCUUGAACCAUUGUUUGUUUUUCCUUGCUGUUCUUUUGUUUCUGAAUCUUUCACAAACCAACUGGAGCCAAUUAUCUUCCAUGCAAUUAAAACCAAAUAGUUUGUGCCAUGCUGCUCUUUAGUGCAGCUGUUUCCCCUUAA